GGCCCGGCUCCGGGUCUCGGCCCGUACAGUCCGGCCGGCCAUGCUGGCGGGGCUGGGGCUGGGGCCGGGGCCGAGCCCGCGGCGGGGCC
rnacentral:pre_miRNA from 1 species